rnacentral:rRNA from 1 species
UACGUAGGGUGCGAGCGUUGUCCGGAAUUAUUGGGCGUAAAGAGCUCGUAGGCGGUCUGUCGCGUCGGCCGUGAAAACCUGCAGCUUAACUGUGGGCUUGCGGUCGAUACGGGCAUCACUGGAGUUCGGCAGGGGAGACUGGAAUUCCUGGUGUAGCGGUGAAAUGCGCAGAUAUCAGGAGGAACACCGGUGGCGAAGGCGGGUCUCUGGGCCGAUACUGACGGCUGAGGCACGAAAGCCCAGGGAGCAAACGGG